rnacentral:rRNA from 1 species
AAUGAACGCUGGCGGCAUGCCUAACACAUGCAAGUCGAACGAAGCCUUCGGGCUUAGUGGCGCACGGGUGCGUAACGCGUGGGAAUCUGCCCUUGGGUUCGGAAUAACAGUGGGAAACUACUGCUAAUACCGAAUGAUGUCGUAAGACCAAAGAUUUAUCGCCCAGGGAUGAGCCCGCGUAGGAUUAGCUAGUUGGUGUGGUAAAGGCGCACCAAGGCGACGAUCCUUAGCUGGCUGAGAGGAUGAUCAGCCACACUGGGACUGAGACACGGCCCAGACUCCUACGGGAGGCAGCAGUGGGAAUAUUGGACAAUGGCGAAAGCCUGAUCCAGCAAUGCCGCGUGAGUGAUGAAGGCCUUAGGGUUGUAAAGCUC